ACUUCGGGAUAAGCCUGGGAAACUGGGUCUAAUACCGGAUAGGACCUUCUGCCGCAUGGUGGGGGGUGGAAAGGUUUUCCGGUGCAGGAUGGGCCCGCGGCCUAUCAGCUUGUUGGUGGGGUAACGGCCCACCAAGGCGACGACGGGUAGCCGGCCUGAGAGGGCGACCGGCCACACUGGGACUGAGACACGGCCCAGACUCCUACGGGAGGCAGCAGUGGGGAAUAUUGCACAAUGGGCGCAAGCCUGAUGCAGCGACGCCGCGUGAGGGAUGACGGCCUUCGGGUUGUAAACCUCUUUCAGUACCGACGAAGCGCAAGUGACGGUAGGUACAGAAGAAGCACCGGCCAACUACGUGCCAGCAGCCGCGGUAAUACGUAGGGUGCGAGCGUUGUCCGGAAUUACUGGGCGUAAAGAGCUCGUAGGCGGUUUGUCGCGUCGUCUGUGAAAACCCGCAGCUCAACUGCGGGCUUGCAGGCGAUACGGGCAGACUUGAGUACUGCAGGGGAGACUGGAAUUCCUGGUGUAGCGGUGAAAUGCGCAGAUAUCAGGAGGAACACCGGUGGCGAAGGCGGGUCUCUGGGCAGUAACUGACGCUGAGGAGCGAAAGCGUGGGUAGCGAACAGGAUUAGAUACCCUGGUAGUCCACGCCGUAAACGGUGGGCGCUAGGUGUGGGUUUCCUUCCACGGGAUCCGUGCCGUAGCUAACGCAUUAAGCGCCCCGCCUGGGGAGUACGGCCGCAAGGCUAAA
rnacentral:rRNA from 1 species